ACAUACAGACAUUACAAGUAGGAGAAAAAUUGGCUCGGGAUACUUCAGACUGCUCAAGACGCCAGGUGUGAGAAGCAAAAUGGUUUUUUUCCCUCUCGACAACACAACAGCAGACAUGAUUGAGCCAGGAGGUAGUAACAAAGCUGACAAGACUAGAUGAAUGAGAAACUGUAAAAUAAACAUGUUCAGGCAGGAAAUGAUGCUGGAACCAGCAGAGAAUAAAAUGGAAUCAGUAAAGACGGUACAUUUGAUGAGUGGUAUAUUUUAUCCUAUUGAAAAUCUGGCAGGAUGUUUAGCUCAAGGUGAAGGGAUGGACUUGGAAUGCUCUCAAGUCAAGGAGUCGUGAAUUUUGAGUGGAGAUGCUGCCAGACUUGCUGGGUUUCUCCAGCAAUUCCUUUUUCAGAACUCCAGUAUCCGCAGAUCUUUGUUGUGUUUCAGUCGUGUAUUAUCCAUUCGACGGGAGGCUAAAUCCAAAAUCAUCUGCCUCGCUUUGGGACCUGAUGUUAAAUCAAUACCCCAUCAGUCCCCAGGUGAGUCAUAAACAUCUGGGAAUGCUAUUCCAAAGAAGUGCUGGGAACCUUUCCCAUGUACAACUUCACAAAAGCAGACUAUCUGAUGAUUCUCAUGAGACUGCUUGUGAGACUUCGCAUUACACAUCUGGCUGCCACGUUUCUUCCAUUGCAACAGUGACUACACAUCAAAGAAGUGCUUCAUUGGCUAGAAACUGCUUUGGCUCAUAACAUGGUUCCAUGUAAAUGCAAGUCCUACUUCCUAAGCUUUUCUGUUUUGGCAACAAAACAGCCAGCACCAAGCCAAACCAAUGCUUCUUAUUUCUCAUUCUGGUCAUUUGAUUAUGUGCUUUCCCAGAGAAGUACUGCACUCUAUAUAUAAGGUAAACAGAAGUUUAUUGUUUGCUUGUAGACUGAAAAAGGCAUCCAGACAUUAUUUUCCCCAUUGAAAACCAUAUCACUUGUGAGUGGCUAUGCAAAAUUCAUCCUGCCUAAGGCAAUAUGUAAAUUUGUGUCCUUUCACUCUCUGAUUCUUUGUCGAUGCUGCUGCUGCACAUAAAGAUAUGUGACAAAA